rnacentral:misc_RNA from 1 species
GUGGGUUUCGAAAAAAACGCGAAAUCCACGAAAAUUUUGGGCCACGAAAAUUUUCCGCUAUACGGUAGUUUGUAAUCAUUUCUGGGAUGAGCAAGGUGCUAGUGUUGUCUGUAACAUGUUAGGAUAUUCUUCUUAUGGUGAGUGGAUUUUUAAUCUUCUGAAGAUUAUAAUGAGCAUACAGUGGAUCAAGAUAUUCAUCCCAUUUUCUUCAUUCAUUUAAUGAAGUAUUACUGGUUACUGAUGUAUCCUGUUCUCCAACUAAUGAAAGGAUUCAAGAUUGUUUAAUUACUACACGCCACCUUCAUCCUGUGGUGUCUUGAAUGUUUUAAUUGUUAGAUGUCAAACUGGUAUAGAGCUCAGGAUAUGGGUGAAUCAACGAGUGUAUUUGCAAUGAAGAGCAACAAUGAUUGAGAAGGCUGUGAAGUCAUGUAGCAGAACUGUCCUCAACAAAAGGCUCCUAGUUGAAUAAUAGAGCGACAGUAUUUUCUAAAAGUUAUUUUGGACAUAAAUCAUCAAGCACUUAUACACUGAGUAAUGUGUACUGUUGUGUGAUAACAACUUCACUGUUGGACAGCUAUAAUUCUCUCUCAUCUUUUAUGUUUUGUGGAGCUGAAAGCAUGGGCGGUAUAGCUAGAUUGAUGUGAUUCUGGUAAUACAUGCAAAGCUGAGUGGUUCUGAUACUGAAUCUCUGGUUGUGUUAAAGUUGGUAUAGAAUCAGUUUGGACAUCACUCUGUGGCCAGAGCUGGGAUUUGAAGGAUGCACAAGUAGGUUGUAGAGAUUUAGGAUACUAUCCCUUUGGUGCAGUGCCAACAUAAUAUGGUUGCUAAAUGAGGGACAAUACUGUAUCAACUGUACUGGCUAUGAGAAAGCUUUAAUGAACUGCUUACACAGUAAUCCAGUACUCUCAUAAUGAUGCUGGGCUUAUUUGCCAACGUAAGAAAUAUGGAAAUAUUUGAAAUGAAUAUGGUUGA